CUUUGUAGAUGGCAGACCUUUCCUACAGAAGCUGCCCAUCAGAAAAAGGAAACCACAGGACAAAAAGUUGUGUUCAAGAAGGGAACAACAAGAAGGAAAAAAAAAAGUCAACAAUCUUAGAGGCAACCAUUCUUUGCUUUCAAUGGGACAGAAGAGCUCCUUGGCACUGGAACCCUCCUGGUCUGGUGAGGGAGGGAGGAGGGAUGCUCUGAGGACACACAGCCGUCAUCCAGAACUUCCUACGUUCGGAUCAAGGAAAGAGGCGGCGCAGGACGCUUGGAUCGUGUUGCCUGAAGGAUGGUUUGGACCGUGCGAGCGAGUCACAGAAGGGUCUCAUGGGAACAGAAAGUUUUGAGAGAGUUUACUGCUUGUGCAAGAUGACUGGUUGGGUAAAGAAGUCCAAAGUUUAUUAUCUGCAGAACAAAUAAAGCCUGGGCAAAGGUAACUGAAACGAAUGUC
rnacentral:lncRNA from 1 species